GAGUUUGAUCGGUGGCUCAGAAUGAACGCUGGCGGCACGCCUAACACAUGCAAGUCGAACGAGAAAGUGAGCAAUCAUGAGUAAAGUGGCGAACGGGUGAGGAAGACGUGGGAAUCUGCCCUGUAGUGGAGGAUACCUUGUAGAAAUAGAAGUUAAUCCUGCAUAAGCUCGGAAGAGGAAAGAUGGCUUAAAAGCUAUCGCUAGAGGAUGAGCCCGCGGCCUAUUAGCUAGUUGGUGGGGUAAAGGCCUACCAAGGCGAAGAUGGGUAUCCGGCCUGAGAGGGUGAACGGACACACUGGGACUGAGAUACGGCCCAGACUCCUACGGGAGGCAGCAGUGGGGAAUAUUGCACAAUGGGCGAAAGCCUAGAUGCAGCGAUGCCGCGUGAAGGAGAAGGUUUUU
rnacentral:rRNA from 1 species